rnacentral:rRNA from 1 species
AUUGAACGCUGGCGGCGUGCCUAACACAUGCAAGUCGAGCGGUAACAGGCGUAGCAAUACGUGCUGACGAGCGGCGAACGGGUGAGCAAUGCUUCGGAAUCUGCCCAAUGGUGGGGAAUAACCAGUCGAAAGAUAGGCUAAUACCGCAUACGCCCUUCGGGGGAAAGCGGGGGUCGCAAGACCUCGCGCCGAUGGAUGAGCCGAAGUCGGAUUAGCUAGUUGGUAGGGUAACGGCCUACCAAGGCGACGAUCCGUAGCUGGUCUGAGAGGACGACCAGCCACACUGGGACUGAGACACGGCCCAGACUCCUACGGGAGGCAGCAGUGGGGAAUAUUGGACAAUGGGGGCAACCCUGAUCCAGCGACGCCGCGUGUGUGAAGAAGGCCUGCGGGUUGUAAAGCACUUUUAGUGGGGAUGAAAAGCACAUUGCUAAUACCAGUGUGUCUUGACCUAACCCAAAGAAAAAGCACCGGCUAACUCUGUGCCAGCCGCCGCAGUAAAAC